CCAAUAGCGUAUAUUAAAGUUGUUGCAGUUAAAAAGCUCGUAGUUGAAUUUCGGGGUUAGCAGGUCGGUCGUGCCAUUGGUAUGAACUGGUCUCGCUGAUCCCUCCCUCUUGACGAACUGUGAUGCCAUUAAUUUGGUGUCGCAGGGAAUCAGGACUGUUACUUUGAAAAAAUUAGAGUGUUUAAAGCAGGCUUUCGCUUGAAUACAUUAGCAUGGAAUAAUGAAAUAGGACGUUUGAUCCUAUUUUGUUGGUUUCUAGGAUUGACGUAAUGAUUAAUAGGGAUAGUUGGGGGCAUUAGUAUUCAAUUGUCAGAGGUGAAAUUCUUGGAUUUAUUGAAGACUAACUACUGCGAAAGCAUUUGCCAAGGAUGUUUUCAUUAAUCAAGAACGAAAGUUAGGGGAUCGAAGACGAUCAGAUACCGUCGUAGUCUUAACCAUAAACUAUGCCGACUAGGGAUCGGAUGAUGUUAAUUUUUUAAUGACUCAUUCGGCGCCUUACG
rnacentral:rRNA from 1 species